UACGUAGGGAGCAAGCGUUGUCCGGAAUCAUUGGGCGUAAAGCGCGCGUAGGCGGCCCUGUAAGUCCGUUGUGAAAGUCAAAGGCUCAACCUUUGAAAGCCGAUGGAUACUGCAGGGCUAGAGUCCGGAAGAGGCGAGUGGAAUUCCUGGUGUAGCGGUGGAAUGCGCAGAUAUCAGGAGGAACACCAAUAGCGAAGGCAGCGCGCUGGGACGGUACUGACGCUAAGGCGCGAAAGCGUGGGGAGCGAACAGG
rnacentral:rRNA from 1 species